UUUCUAUCUACAAUGUUCAAUCCCAACUUUUCUGAGUCCUAGUACGCAAGGAAUGGUCUCAGCGAUGCUCGACUAUAUUGGCCCCAUCGACGUAAUCAACUUCUGGCUGCUGCAAAGAAGGGAAAACAAAAGGUUUAGGGAUUAAUAAGGU
rnacentral:rRNA from 1 species